AACGAACGCUGGCGGCGUGCCUAACACAUGCAAGUCGUACGAGAAAGGGUCCUUCGGGGCCUGAGUAAGGUGGCGCACGGGUGAGUAACGCGUGGAUAAUCUGCCCUUCAGUUGGGAAUAACUCAUCGAAAGGUGGGCUAAUACCGAAUAAUGCUGUGAGACCUCGGUUGAUCAGCCAAAGAGAGCCUCUGCUUGCAAGCCCUCGCUGAAGGAUGAGUCCGCGUACCAUUAGCUAGUUGUUAGGGUAAUGGCCUACCAAUGCGACGAUGGUUAGCUGGUCUGAGAGGAUGAGCAGCCACACUGGAACUGAGACACGGUCCAGACUCCUACGGGAGGCAGCAGUGAGGAAUCUUGCGCAAUGGGGGCAACCCUGACGCAGCAACGCCGCGUGAGUGAGGAAGGUCUUCGGAUCGUAAAGCUCUGUCGGAUGGAAAGAACCGCAUAGGGGUAAACAGCCCCUGUGUCUGACGGUACCAUCAAAGGAAGCACCGGCUAACUCCGUGCCAGCAGCCGCAGUAAAAC
rnacentral:rRNA from 1 species